rnacentral:rRNA from 1 species
GACGAACCGUACGAACGUUAUUCGGAAUCACUGGGCGUAAAGGGCGCGUAGGCGGCCCUCCUUGUCGCGUGUGAAAGCCCCGGGCUCAACCUGGGAACGGCGCGCGAGACGGGGGGGCUGGAGUUCGGGAGAGGAGCGUGGAAUUCCCAGUGUAGAGGUGAAAUUCGUAGAUAUUGGGAAGAACACCGGUGGCGAAGGCGGCGCUCUGGACCGAGACUGACGCUGAGGCGCGAAAGCGUGGGGAGCAAACAGG